rnacentral:misc_RNA from 1 species
AAGACUAUAGACCUGCGGAGUACCUGCGGAGGGAUCAUUAGUGAACGCCCUCGCGGGCUUAUAACUAUUCCAAACCUCUGUGAACCGUGCCCUUCGGGGCUAUUUUACAAACAUGGUGUAAUGAACGUCAUAUAUCAUAACAAAACAAAACUUUCAACAAUGGAUCUCU